UUUUGAAAGGCUCCCAUUGCUACAUUGUAUUUUAUUUAUCAGUAAUGAAAUGUUCAAUAACACUCUGUCAAGUGAUAUAGUUGUGGCCUGAUAGAUACACGCUAAGUUCAUAGUUUCUCUCCCCCAGCAUUCCUUGCAUUUUAAAAUAGUUGGCAAUCUAAGCCAGGAAUUGUUUAGGGUGAGGGUGGUUCUUUGGUUCUAACACCCAAGAACAGACUCCUGGUUCUUCACCCUUUAAUUUUUACAACCUGAUCCUAUCAUCAACUCUUUGUCAACAUUCAACUUUGCAAAAAACAGCACUUUUGGAACUCCUCCAUAUUCAUGGUUCAGCAUAUGUCAAAGGACUUUUCAUGCCAUAUACUGUAUAUCAAUACUCAAUGUGGGAGUAAUUUCACUUCUUAAUUUAUAGCAGCAGUAACCACAUUUUCAAACUGAUCAUAAAAUAUUCCUGUAUGCUUGUAAUCUGGCUUCUCAAUGUUCUAUAAUAGGAAUUCUAUGAAUAAUAUUUGGAAGUGGGUGAUAUUUUAUAUUAUAUUUUAUAUGGAAUCGCUAAGGGAACACAGUUACUUCCAAAAAGAAAAAAACUAGUGAAAUGGUUCAGACUGAGAUGGCAUUUGUUUUCUUUUCUUUUUUACAAAGCACCCAUCACAGCUUGUCACUUGAGAACUAAAGAUUUAUGACAUUUUUUCCUUAGAAAAAGCAUUGGAAGGAAGUCUGCAAACAACAGACCUUUAAUUAUACAUAUCUCCAUCUUCAGUGAAAGAGCCAACAUUUCUCUUUCUUUAAAGAUGUACCAGCUAUGUAGAAAUAUCUCAACAAAAUCUAUUGCUAAUUGCUAGGAAAUGCUAUAUAGAAAUUCAUAAAUAAAUGUGUAAUUUGAUACCAGUUCCAAAUAUUCCAUCUUUUUUCACAGUUUACAACUACCAGAAAUCUAGAACUCUUUAUUUCCCUAAAUUCAUAUAUUUUGAUUAUUGGGAAAGGGGAGAUGCUGGUUUGCCAUAACAUCCUUAUGGUAGGGAUGUAGCAAGAUGAGAUGCUGCUGAACAACUUUCAGGAAUACACCAUCCCUUCCCAGCUCUUCUUGGAAAAACUAAGGAUAUGGAAUUAGAGAAAAAAAAAAAAUCAAGAUGAAGGGGAGAUGAAAUCUCUUUAUGCUUCUAUAGUUUGUUCUGCAUUCUGAUAAUUCAACUCCUUCAUGAAUUUGAGCUGGGCUUUUUCAUGACAGUAACAGGAACCACAAAGCUUGAAAAAUAUCAAGUCUUAUGUAUAAAUGCUUUGACCAGAGGGAUUGUACUACUUUCUAGAGACAGCCAUCAUUGAAGGCAAGACCAGUUCUGGGCUUUCUGGUGGUAUAUGGCUAUUGGCUGAGGUACAAAAUGUAUGCAGGGAUUCUCAGUUAUAAAAGCCAACUGAUAUCACCAGCCCAGUGAUGGCUUCUUGAUCAUUAAA